AGGCUCUAGAGUUCAUUGAUGAAACUGGUAUAGAUGCUUUGGCAGUUUGUAUCGGAAAUGUCCAUGGAAAAUACCCUGCAACUGGCCCAAAUCUCAGACUUGAUUUACUUAAGGUUAAGUAUAAGUAGUCAUAAUUGUACAUUUUGCAUUAUGGUUGAGAUUACUGCUAAUUGAUCUCUUUCCAACAAUGUUCACCUUGUUACUCAUGGGCACCACUUGGUUUAGAGUAUUUUUAUUCAGGAUUCUGUUACUCUAUGACACCGGAUUUACUUCAUCCUCAAGUAUAAGCAUGUUAUAGGCUGUUAGUAUAUGCUAUUUUCUUUAGGUGUUAAAUUAUUCGGUGACAAAAUAGUCUCAUAUUGCAUCCUGCAUACCUGUUACCCAACUCAAAUCUUUAGCAUCACUUCUCAAAGUUGAGUGAAAUAAUCACCGAGUCCCAGAUCAAUUUGAAAUUUUCAACCCAUCUGCCUACUUCACGAAAACAUGCAUAACCUGUUAAAUUCUUUGGUUCAACUUAUUCUACUUGUAUAUCCUAGAAAUCAUCGUGAUUUUCAGAGUGUUUCUGUGGCCAUGUUUGUCCCUUAUAUGUGAUUUUCUUCUUCCAGAGGUCCCUUAAAGGCAUUUCUAUUGUUUGAACUAUUGUUAAACCAGUCAUACACAUCAAGCCAACACCACAACUGCCUAAUCUGAAACUAAUCAUUUUUUUUUCUGGUGUGCCCUUAGACCCAGUCCCUUUUUAGACUGCCCGGAAGGGUUGAAUAAAAACAGCACUUGUUGAAAGGGUUUCUGUUCUCUGAAUUCCAUCAAUCCAGAAGUUCAAAUCAUUCCCAGUCAAAUUCCUCUCUUCAGAAUGUUCUCUCAAAAUCAUUGAACAAAUAGACCGAAAAGGACUGAAACUCAUAUUUUUCUUUGACAUUCAGUAAUGGAAAGCAUGCAACAUUUCUGUUCUUCAGGAAAGAAACCCGUCUUUCUUUUGAAAUUUAUGUUACAUGAGCUCCAGUAGCAUUCUUAUCAUCCGAGUUUCUGGCUUCCAACCUUUUGCUCUACGUCCAGGAACUGCACAAUUUGUGCUCAAAGAAAGGAGUUCUUCUAGUUCUUCAUGGAGCUUCUGGGUUGUCAGAGAAACUCAUCAAGGUACGUUAAGCAUAAACCAACUUCGGUUAUCAGAUCUGUGGCUACCAUCAUUGACAUCGAACUGCUUACUGCUUGGAACAGGAAUGCAUAGAACGAGGCGUGACAAAGUUCAAUGUGAACACAGAGGUGCGAAAGGCUUACAUGGAGUCACUGAGCAGCCCUGGGAAAGACUUAGUACAUGUUAUGUCAAAUGCAAAGGAAGCCAUGAAAGCUGUGGUUGCAGAGAAGAUGCAUCUGUUUGGUUCAGCUGGGAAAGCAUGACAAAAUUUUUGCAUUUCCCCCAAUAAUGAAAAUGAAACAUUUGAGUCAAUUUAUAAAU
rnacentral:lncRNA from 1 species